AUCACUGAGAGGAUUCCCGCCGUUCUUAAAAGUCCGAAUUUCUGCAGGUUUCUACAGGAACAUUCAUCAUGAGAGUCGACUUCAGCUGAUAAAACUUCGCUCUCGUCGUGUGUAGCAGUGUUAACAAGAUUUGCAACCCAGCAUUUCCCAAAACACUAACCUACUAGGUCAAGCUGACCCAGGAGUUGCAGACAGAGCAUAAAAGGAAACUGAAGGUCAGUGGGGAGGGGAUGUCUUUGCUGGGGUCUAUCUGUAUAUCCUAUUGAGGUUUGGUGUGGGGAGGAUGAUGACCGGUUGGUUUUGAUGGACUGUGGUUCAGUCUGGCCCUAGUCAAGCCUCAUUUCUGGAGAAGCGCUGCACCAGGAGAACGUGAGAGUUAGUCAUCUGGGAUUAGGACACAUCUGUCUUCAGAGCGAGAAAGACAGAUUCAUGCCAGUAAAAGCUUUGGUGGGCUGAAUUAAUUAAACCGCAAAAAUGUAAAAAUUUUAGAGCACAUUUCUAGUCCUAAAUUUAAAUAAAUAAAAAACUUCAAGGAAUCAUUUCAAAGUUGUUUUCAUCUCAUAAAAAUAAAUAUAGGCAAUAUUUCGUAGUUGCAACAAUGUUUUUAGUAAUUGUGUCUUUAUAUCUUUAUCUAUCACACAGUGUGAGUCUUUAUUUCUCAUAAUGCUAACUUUUUUAGCAAAUUGCGACUUUAUAGCAUGCUU